ACGGCUCCUAGAGGCACUGCAGGUGCAGCUGAGGCGUCAUGUGUGCAGCAGUAGGUGGCAGAGAGGAGAGAGGCCAUGUCUACACUCAGUGUUCUGACCUAUGAGUGUCUGAACGAUUAGCAACCUAACAUU
ensembl:snoRNA